rnacentral:rRNA from 1 species
GAUGAACGCUGGCGGCGUGCCUAAUACAUGCAAGUCGAACGAAGGAUGCUUUGCUUGCAUCGCAUCCUUAGUGGCGAACGGGUGAGUAACGCGUUGGUGACCUACCCCAAAGCGAGGGAUAGCAACUGGAAACGGUUGGUAAUACCUCAUAAAAUCCUACGGAUUAGAAGCCGUUUGAUUAAAGGAGUAAUCCACUUUGGGAGGGGCCUGCGUCCCAUCAGCUAGUUGGUAGGGUAAUGGCCUACCAAGGCGAUGACGGGUAGGGGACCUGAGAGGGUGACCCCCCACACUGGCGACUGAAACAACGGGCCGACGACACCUACGGGAGGCAG